rnacentral:lncRNA from 1 species
GCCGUGGACGAGCUGCUGGUGGCCGCGGGGGUGCCCCUGGAGCUCCGGGAGGGUGACCUGGGCUCGGUGACGGUGACGGUGCCCUGGGCCGCGCUGGGCUCCGAACCCCUGCGGCUGCGGCUGCGGCGGCUGCGCCUCGUGCUGCAGCCCCGUGAGUGCCCGGGACCCCCGGGACCCCUGACACCCCCGGGACACCCACGGGACACCCCCGGGACACCCCCGGGACACCCCCGGGACACCCGGGACACACCUGAGGACACCCCCGGGACACCCCCUGACCCACCCAGUGUCACCCUGACCCCUGGGACCCCCUGACAGCCCCCGACCCACCCGGUAUCACCUUGACCCCCUCAGUGACCCCCUCCUGUGACACCCCCUUUCCCCCCCAUGACCCCUCCUGACCCACCCCAUGUCACUCUGACCCCCCCUGACACCCCCGGGACACCCCCUGACCCACCCGGUGUCACCCUGACCCCCUCAGUGACCCCCUGUGACCCCCCUGUGACCCCCCUGUCCUCCCCCAGGCCCGCCGGGGUCACCGGGGUCACCGGGGUCACCCCCCCCGGGGGGGGGGUCGGAGCAGGGCCGGGACCCCCCCCAGGAGGAGCCGCUGGAGGGGCUGGAGGCGCUGGCAGCGGGCAUCGAGGCAGUGCUGCGGCGGCUGCAGGUGCACCUGGAGGACACGGAGCUGCGCCUGGAGCUGCCCCCGCAGCCCGGGGGGGGGCCUGGGGGGGGCCCUGGAGCUGCACCUGCCCAGGUGAGGGGCUCAGGUGUGUCCAGGUGUGUCCCAGGUGUGUCCCGGGUGUGUCCCCAGGUGUGUCCCAGGUGUGUCCCAGGUGUGUCCCGGGUGUGUCCUGGGCGUGUCCUGGGUGUACCCAGGUGUGUCCCCGGGUGUGUCCCCGGGUGUGUGCCCAGGUGUGUGCCCAGGUGUGUCCCCAGGUGUGUCCAGGUGUGUCCUGGGUGGGUCCUGGGUGGGUCCUGGGUGUCCCCAGGUGUGUCCCCAGGUGUGUCCCCAGGUGUGUCCCAGGUGUGUCCCCAGGUGUGUCCCAGGUGUGUCCCAGGUGUGUCCCCAGGUGUGUCCCAGGUGUGUCCCCAGGUGUGUCCCAGGUGUGUCCCCAGGUGUCCCAGGUGUCCCCAGGUGUGUCCCAGCUGUCCCCAGGUGUCCCAGGUGUGUCCCAGGUGUGUCCCAGGUGUGUCCCAGGUGUGUUGCAGGUGUCCCAGGUGUGUCCCCAGGUGUCUGGGGUGUCUCAGGUGUGUCCCAGGUGUCCCCAGGUGUGUCCCAGGUGUGUCUCAGGUGUGGCUGUCCCCAGGGUGGAGUACGAGGACGUGGGGGAGGGUCCCGGCCCCUCCCCCGUGCUGCAGAAGCGGCUGCGGCUGCACGACCUGCGGCUGCUGUGGGUGGAGCCGGCCCCACCUGGCCAGCAGGUACGUGUCACCUGUGGCACCUGUGUGUGUCACCUGUGUGUGUCACCUGUCACACCUGUGUGUCCCUGUGUCAUCUGUCUCACCUGUGUCACACCCAUGUCCCACCUGUCUCACUUGUCCCACCUGUCUCACCUGUCCCACCUGUCUCACCUGUGUCUCACCUGUCUUACCUGUCUCUCACCCGUCUGUCACCCGUGUCUUGCCUGUGUCCCACCUGUCCCACCUAUACCUCACCUGUCUCACCCAUAUCUCACCUGUAUCUCACCCGUGUCCCACCCGUGUCCCACCCGUGUCCCACCUGUCAUACCUGUCCCACCUGUCCCACCUGUGUCUCACCUGUAUCUCAUCUGUAUCUCACCUGUAUCUCACCUGUGUCUCACCUGUAUCUCACCUGUAUCUCACCUGUCUCUCACCUGUCCCACCUGUACCUGUAUCUCACGUGUCUCUCUCACCUGUAUCUUACCUGUCUCUCACCUGUAUCUCACCUGUAUCUCACCUGUAUCUCACCUGUCUCACGUGUAUCUCACCUGUCUCACCUGUCUCACCCGUGUCCCACCUGUCCUACCUGUCUCACACCUGUCCCACCUGUGUCCCACCUGUAUCUCACCUGUCUCUCUCUCACCUGUCCCACCUGUACCUGUAUCUCACCUGUCCCACCUGUCUCUCUGUCACCUGUGUCUCACCUGUCCCACCUGUACUUGUAUCUCACCUGUACCUGUAUAUCACCUGUACCUGUAUCUCACCUGUAUCUCACCUGUCCCACCCGUGUCUCUCUGCCCGCAGCGCUGCAGUUCCCCCGCCGCCCAUCUGGGGGCGCUGCUCCCGGGCCCUGCGGAGCUGCGGCUGCGCCUGAGGCGGAGCGAGAGAGCGGCGGGGCCGGCGGUGGGACUGGGGAAACUGGGGGGGACUGGGGGGACUGGGGGGGACUGGGGGGGACUGGGAGGGACUGGGAUUGAACUGGGAUUGAACUGGGAGGGACUGGGAGGGAAACUGGGGGGGACUGGGGGGAACUGGGGGGGACUGGGGGGGACUGGGAGGGACUGGGGGGGACUGGGAGGGACUGGGAGGGGGAUGGGGGUUUGGUUUUGGGCAUUUCUGGGCAAUUUGGGGUCUCAUUUUGGCAUUUUUGGGGUCUCGUUUUUGGGGAUUUUAGGGUGUUUUUGGGGUCUCGUUUUGGGAUUUUUGGGGUCUCGUUUUGGGGGUUUUCGUGUCUGGUUUUGGGGUUUUUGGGGUGUUUUUGGGGCCUCACUUUUAGGGUGGUUUUGGGGUCUGGUUUCGGGGUUUUUGGGGUGUGUUUGGGGUCUGGUUUCGGGGUUUUUGGGGUGUGUUUGGGUCUGGUUUCGGGGUUUUUGGGGUGUGUUUGGGGUCUCAUUUUGGGGUUUUUGGGGUCUCGUUUUGGGGUCUCACUUUUGGGGUUCUUGGGGUGUGUUUGGGGUCUCGUUUUGGGGUUUUUGGGGUGUUUUUGCGGUCUCACUUUUGGGGUGUUUUUGGGGUCUCGUUUUGGGGUUUUUGGGGUGUUUUUGGGGGACUCACUUUUGCGGUGUUUUUGAGAUGUUUUUGGGGUCUGGUUUCGGGGUUUUUGGGGUGUGUUUGGGGUGUUUUUGGGGGUCUCACUUUUGGGGUUUUUGGGGUGAUUUUGGGGUCUGAUUUCGGGGUUUUUGGGGUGAUUUUGGGGUCUGGUUUAGGGGUUUUUGGGGUGAUUUUGGGGUCUGACUGCCCCUCCGCAGGUGGAGCUGGAGGCCACCGUGGGGUCCCUGCACCUGCUGCUGCCCCCCCCCCUGUUGGGGGUCCUGCGGGGGGCCCUGGACCCCCCCGGUGAGAGCCCCUCCCCCCCCCGGCACCCCAAACCCGGCGGGACCCCAAACCUGGGGGGGGGGGGGAGGGGCUGGGGGGGGUUGGGGGUCUCCUGGACCCCCGAAUCCUCUGGGGGGCAGUGGGGUAUUUUGGGGGGGGUUUGGGGGGCUUUGAGUUAUUUUGGGGUGUUUCUGAGGCGCUCCGUGCCGGUUUUGGGAUGUUUUCGGGCUGUUUUGGGGCGCUGUGUGUGAUUUUGGCAGAUUUUGGGGUGCUCUGUGUUAUUUUUAAGAUAUUUUGGGAUAUUUUGGGGCAGUGUGUGUUAUUUUGGGGUGCUCUGUGUUAUUUUUGGGAUAUUUUGGGGUGCUGUAUGUUAUUUUUAAGAUAUUUUGGGAUAUUUUGGGGCAGUGUGUGUUUUUCGGGGUAUUUUGGGGUGCUCUGUGUUAUUUUUGGGUAUUUUGGGGUGCUCUGUGAUAUUUUUGGGUAUUUUGGGAUGCUCUGUGAUAUUUUUGGGAUGUUUUGGGCUGUUUUGGGACGCUCUCUGAUAUUUUUGGGUAUUUUGGGAUGCUCUGUGAUAUUUUUGGGUAUUUUGGGAUGCUCUGUGAUAUUUUUGGGUAUUUUGGGGUGCUGUGUGAUAUUUUUGGGUAUUUUGGGACGCUCUGUGAUAAUUUUGGGGUGUUUGGGGCUGAUUUCGGGCUCUGCCCCCCAGGUCCCCCCCCCGGGGGUCGCAGCCGCCCCCUGGGCCCGCAGGACCUGGCGCUGAUCGAGCGGGAGCUGAGCCGGGGCCUGCGGGGGGGGCACGACCCCCCGACCCCCCCCGGGGGCGACCCCGACGGCGGUGAGGGGGGGGGGGCUGGGGGGCUCCGGGGUGGGUUUUGGGGG